UCCGGCUUAACGCCGGCAGUCUCGCUAGAGUCCCCAGCUUUACCUGAUGGCAACUAGCGACAGGGGUUUCGCUCGUUAAGGGACUUAACCCGACACUUCACAGCACGAGCUGACGACAGCCAUGCAACACCUGUGCAAGCAUUACCCCGAAGGGCGACCAUCUGAGUUAUCCCCGAAUGGCGCUCUUGCAUGUCAAACCUGGGUAAGGUUCUUCGCGUUGCUUCGAAUUAAGCCACAUGCUCCACCGCUUGUGUGAGCCCCCGUCAAUUCCUUUGAGUUUUAGCCUUGCGGCCGUACUCCCCAGGCGGCACACUUAUCAAUUUCGCUACGACUCGGGAAGUGUCAGACCGCCCGAGUCUAGUGUGCAUCGUUUACGGCGUGGACUAC
rnacentral:misc_RNA from 1 species